CGUAUAUUGUACGAUUGUAUUGUUUAGUUUAAGCAUAAAGCAUUCUCUAUAAUUAACCAACAAAAUAGGCGCCCAGUUAUCUCUAAAGAUCGGAAACGUAUCAUAUGACAAGAUUUGUUUUCUCAUGUAAAUGGGCAGAUAAAGGGGUGAACACUUACUGAGCGGCUGAAAAUAUUCACUGGAAAAUAAUUAUUUUGUGUAGUUGAAAGCUUCAAAAAAAUGCGAAACGUCAGCAGUCAGAAGGAUGAUGUUUACUGAAUGUAUUGUGUACAAAAGAAGCUUUAGAGGCGUUUUUUUGCUAUGCAUAUUCUGUGUCAUACGGGAGUACUAGACUGUUUUCUGAUCGCGCGGAGAACCCAAGACUGCAAUCUUUGGAAGUAAGUGAUAAACUAAUUCGAGUCUCCUCCCAGCUUGCGAAGAGGUGAGAUUCGUGAAUGCGUAACUAAUCAAGUUUAAUUGUUUUAGGCUUAUACAACUGACGUGAGUACAGAGCAGUACUGUGUUGCGCAGAACUAAAAACCGCGAUUUAUUGGAAAACUGGAAAAUCAUAACAUGACUGCUUCCUGACUGUGAGGAAAAUAGGACCAGUAUUUGUGGGAUUAUUGGAAAACUAGCGAAGAGUUUAAAAAAAAAGGACAACAAUAGAUGUUAAAGUUCUUUACUGUUUGUUUUCUGGUCGUACAGAACUAAAGAGACUGCUUUCUGGUCAAUCCGAUCUUAAGGAUUAUUGGAACAUCCUUUUAUACCUCGAUCUGUGCAAGUAUUAAAAAAACAGUCGUGACUGCUUCCUUGGCGUGCAAAACUUCAAAGCUCGAUCUGCGGAAGUAUUAGAAAAUAAAUCGUGAUUGCUUCCUUAAUCGAUGCCUCAAUCUGUAGAAUUAUUGGAAGCUUAUGUGAUUUGUUCCUGGUUGCGCAGAACAGCGUUGUCAUUGGCGACUGCUUUCUGGACUUGAUUAUAGAGCACGAAUCGAGAUCUCCUGGAUUAUUUGGUAAUAGUUCAGUACAUUAUUAGAACUCGCACAGAAAUUGGCUAUAUAAGAUGCUUUGUCUCGUGUAACUACUGUGAUUCAGUAUAGAACUACUUUUAACCCUGCGAAUCAAGCUCCACAAAAUAUAUAAUGACGACCGGCGGGGUCAAGGAUAAAGUGGACAGGCUAAUUCGGGCAAAUAAAGUUGCAGUUUUCUCCAAACAGGGGUGUCCUUACUGCCUUGGGGCGCGCAACACAAUCAGGAAAUAUAUAGGAAAGCUACUGCCACAAUCAGCUGUCCUGUUUUAUGAUAUAGAGAAAGAAAAUGACACGAGAGAAACACAGAACUACCUGAGACUUAUAACGGGAGCUCCAUCGGUUCCGAAUGUUUUUAUCCAUGGAAAGUUUAUUGGUGGACACGAAAAGCUGAAGUUUCUACACAAGACCGGAGAACUAGAGGACAUUCUCAGAAGCGGUCCGGUUGUUAAAAAAUAGAUGAGCCGCGUCAUGAGAAAACCAACAUAGUGAGUUUGCGACCAGCAUGGAUCCAGACCAGCUUGCGCAUCCGCGCAGUCUGGUCAGGAUCCAUGCUGUUCGCUUUUAAAGUCUAUUGCAAUUAGAGAAACUGUUAGCGAACAGCAUGGAUCCUGACCAGACUGCGCGGAUGCGCAGGCUGGUCUGGAUCCAUGCUGGUCGCAAACCCACUAUGUUGAUUUUCCCAUGGCGCGGCUCAGAUGUAUCUCUGCGAUCUGGACUUAAGACUGAGUGACUGAUCGUAAAUGGAGAAAAAAACCUAUGGGUUAAUGAAAAAAAAAUCGUUUAAAAGUGGUUGCAAAAAGAACUGUUAUUUAACGUGUCAUACAAAUGUUUUGCCGUAUAUAUGCUUUUCCAGUGACUCAGAACAUGCAGUUGAUAUGCAUUGUAUAUAAAAACAAGAACUGUUUUCCAGUCUUAAAUAAAAAUGCAAUGAUAUGUUAGAACUGUUUUCCAAUCUAAAAACAUUGCGAUCAUAUGAAAGAACUGUUUUCCAAUCUAAAAACUUUGCGAUCAUAUAAAAGAACUGUUUUCCAAUCUAAAAGCUAAAAAUUGCGAUCAUACAGAACAACUGUUUUCCAAUCUAAAAACUGCGAUCAUAUAAAGAACUGUUUCCCAGUCUAAAAGCUUUGCGAUCAUAUUAAAGAACUGUUUUCCAUUCUAAAAGCUUUGCGAACAUUUAGAAAAACUGUUUUCCAAUCUAAAAACUUUGCGAUCAUAUGGAAGAAUUAUUUUCCAAUCCAAAAACUUUGCGAUCAUAUGAAAGAACUGUUUUCCAAUCUAAAAACUUUGUGAUCAUAUGAAAGAACUGUUUUCCAAUCUAAAAACUUCAUGAUCAUAUGAAAGAACUGUUUUCCAAUCUAAAACUUUGCAGUCAUAUUGAAGAACUGUUUUCCAGUCUAAAAGCUUUGCGAUCAUAUAGAAGAACUCUUUCCCAUUCUAAAAACUUCAUAUAAAAGAACUGUUAUCCAAUUUAAAAGCUACAAAUUGCGAUCAUACAAAAGAACUGUUUUCUAUUCUAAAAACUCUGUGAUCACAAUUAUGGAAAAAUUGUAUUCCAGUCUAAAAACUUUGUGACCAUAAGAAAGAACUGUUUUCCAUUCUAAAAGCUUUGCGAACAUUUAGAAAAAUUGUUUUCCAAUCUAAAAACUUUGCGAUCAUAUGGAAGAUUUAUUUUCCAAUCCAAAAACUUUGCGAUUAUAUGAAAGAACUGUUUUCCAAUCUAAAACCUUUGUGAUCAUAUGAAAGAACUGUUUUCCGAUCUAAAAACUUCAUGAUCAUAUGAAAGAACUGUUUUCCAUUCUAAAACUUUGCGAUCAUAUUGAAGAACUGUUUUCCAGUCUAAAAGCUUUGCGAUCAUAUAGAAGAACUGUUUUCCAUUCUAAACACUUUGCGAUCAUACAGAAGAACUAUUUUCCAAUCUAAAAGCUAAAAAUUGCGAUCUAUUCUAAAAUCUCUGUGAUCACAAUUAUGGAAGAACUGUUUUCCAAUUUAAAAACUUUGCGAUCAUAAGAAAGAAUUGUUUUUCAAUCUAAAAGCUUUACGAUCAUAUAGAAGAACCGUUUUCCAAUCUAAAAACUCUGCGAGCAUAUAAAGAACGAUCUAAAAGCUUUGCGAUCAUAUAGAAGAACUGUUUUCCAAUCUAAAACUUUGCGAUCAUAUGAAAGAACUGUUUUCCAAUCCAAAAUCUUUGCGAUCAUAUGGAACAAGAAAAGUACAUUCGCGCAAAAUUUGACUUCGUCAGUGUGACCAGUCACAAGCUUACAAAACGACCAAUGGAAAUGGUAAUAGGUGUGGUAAGAAAGUCAAGAAAAAAGAAGGAAAGACGGAAAGCUAAUGAAUACCAGCGAAGCAUUAGUUCAGUAUAGAAUAUCUAAAUGUGAAAAGCAUAAACCAGUCAAAUACAUCACUGCUAAUAUGGAAAAAUGUACAUGCCGCUGUUAAAGACGCAAUAUUGUCCUUGAAGGAAGCACUUACAUAAAAAAGGAAAUCAAAAUUUCACUCAAUUUUAUUAACAUGUGAAAAAAGUACAUUCCGUAUAAUUUGUGAACUUAUUUUUAUGCAAAACAUA